UUCAUUUUUUUCCAACACCCAGACGGACAAAACACCAUCAAAGCACAAUUUCUUUUUCAUCCGUCUUUUUCUCUCCCCAAAAGACAAGUACCUUCAUCUUCAUCUACAACCAACCUCUGUGUCACUGAAACCUGCAUCGCUGAUCCCUAAUCAUCAACCCCUCAACUCCCGACCCCAAAAUUUCUUCAACCGUCGAAACCCUAACUCGCUCUCUCCAACUUAUUCGCGAACCCCUCAUACUCCACCGCACUCCGACACAAUUCCUGCAUCUACAAAAAACCAAAGAAGUAGUUAGUGAGGAGAGGAAGAUGAAUGAGAGGAAGUAGUUAGCAUUCUCCACCUCUCUCUUCUAUCUUCUUUCUUUCCAAGCUCCACUCCCCCAAUUCCUCCCCCAACUCCAAACCCUAUUUUUCUCUCCGCUGCCUCUAUUUUCUGCCGCAUCGAUCAACACUUGUCUCGGACAAGCCAGUCCUAGACCUUAUACUAGAUGAUAUCCGACGAGCAACACGGGGAUUCCAAGUUCGAUCUUCGAUCGGAGUCUCCACCAAAAAGUCCACAAGCUCCUCGAAUCGGCGCCGUUUCAGCUAGUUUCUGGUGAUGUGAAGUUCACGGUGGUGGCCAAGGAUGGGUUUUGUUAACAAUUGAGGCUUGAGGAAUCUGGAUAAUAGAAGUUGGAGAAGGGAAAGUUGCUGGGUCAGUUUCAAAUCGGAAAUUGUUUUUGUUACAUCUUUUGGAUUGGCUGGGUUAUGGUUUGAAAAAGGGUGAGAGCAGUUGUCAGUUUCUGAUCAUCUGUGGAGGAAUUUUGGUUUGUAGUUUUCAAUCGAUUUGAUCUGCAGAGGGAGCUAUAUUCUUCAGUUUUGUUCUGCUGGAGAAGAAGACAAAUUUGGGUUGUGCCUAUUGAAGGGAGAGAGGUUUGAAGUGGAAGCAAAGAAAAGAGACCUAAUGUUUCUGAGCUGGAGCAGAAGCUUUCAGAACAAUCCAAGACUCUCUUACAUCUUCAACAAAAGGUUGAUGAUUUGGCAUCAAAGGUUUGUUUCUUUUCUUUAUGUAAUUUUUGGCUUUGGACAGUAUUUGCUUGUUUGUCUCAUCGUUUGUAUUCCAUAAGUUACUGUUAUUUGCUUAUUUUUCAACUAUAAUGCUUCUGUUAAACUUAGUUUGUUCUGCCGGAUUCCCGAGGUUACUGCUGAUGAUUGCUACUGCAAAUAUGCUACAUUAGUUGAUUACUUCAGUGGACUUAUUGUCCAUUGUUUUGUAGUAGUUCAUUUUCUCCAGUGCAGUUUUGUUUUCCAUCAAAAAGAAAAAAAAAAAAUGUCCCAUCUUUGGUGUAUGGUUAUGGCAAUUGUAUAUCAGCCUUCUUUGACUAUAAUUUUCAACUCAAAUCACAAACAAAUUCCUCCUCAUUUUGAAAAGUUGCUGUGCCCAUCUUCGUUUCUCCUGUUGACGUUAGCUCCACUACUGUCAUUCCCCUCUAACCAUAGGCUCAGAGAGCCAGUGUUACACGAGUACUUGAGUUUUUUUUUUAACUCUUUGAUACAUAAAGAAUCUGCCUCAUUACCUUUCCAUUUCCUUUUGACGUUCAAAGGGUGCCCAAAGAUCCAUUUUCAUUUUAGCAUUUUGUUUUAACAUUCCUUUUUUUUCCCCUUAUUUAUCUUGAAUUACUUUUUACCAAUGCCUCAAGUCUAUCUUAUUACUGGUAAUGAACGCUCCUGCAAUUUUGGGUUGUUCCUUUACAUAUUGUGUACUUAUAAACUGUUUUUUCUAGUUCUGUUAUUAUUGCUUUCUUUUUCCCGUUGUAAUAAUUAACUCCCCUUAAUGCAUAUAGCAUGCUUACAACCCACAUGGUUAUAACUCUUGCCUCUAGCUCUUUUUACUUUGGAUGGUUAUUUAUUGUUGGACCUUUUGCUAUGUAAUUAUACCUGUCUUAUUUGCAGAAACAACAUUGACAAAGGGGAGGCAUUAGAUAACCUGGAUAUCAUAUAUCAUAUUUGUUCCUUUAUUUGAAGGUUGAACAAAGAUGUAAAUCGAACUAGGAGCACUGGAAUAAUUGGUGAUAGAGGAUCCAGAGAAAGUCAGGUUUCGGUCGAUCACCCCAAUCUCCUUUUCAAGCAUAGUUGCUGCCCUGUUUUGGCAUAAGUCGAGUGGGAUAGAGCCUAUACUUAAUAUCCAGCGGGAGAGGAGAGGCAGCAGCCAAUAUACCCAAGAAGAUAUUGAUCAGUUGCGAAAUGAGUGGGAGAAGUUUGUGGUGAAGAGGUAUGUGUAGGAGCCAUGAAGUAGUUUGCUAAUGAAGUAGUUUGUGCUUCUCUGCUAGUACAUUAUUCAUGCACCAUAUAUGUGGCAUGUUUAAUUGAACAAUAUAUGUAAUUGUAUACGCUUUUGAUGUCCCAAGUAGAUGGACAUGUAUAUGAAUGCUUUUCUUCUAUUAAUGGUUGCUUGGAUGAUGGGGAAAUGCUCCAUUUUAACAUUUAA